CAGCAGCCGCGGUAAUACGGAGGGAGCUAGCGUUGUUCGGAAUUACUGGGCGUAAAGCGCACGUAGGCGGUUAUUCAAGUCAGAGGUGAAAGCCCGGGGCUCAACCCCGGAACUGCCUUCGAAACUAGAUGACUGGAAUCUUGGAGAGGUCAGUGGAAUUCCGAGUGUAGAGGUGAAAUUCGUAGAUAUUCGGAAGAACACCAGUGGCGAAGGCGACUGACCGGACAAGUAUUGACGCUGAGGUGCGAAAGCGUGGGGAGCAAACAGGAUUAGAUACCCCCGUAGUCCUGUCUCUUAUACA
rnacentral:rRNA from 1 species